GACGAGGGGUCCUAGCGUUGUUCGGAAUUACUGGGCGUAAAGCGCAUGUAGGCGGCUUUUCAAGUCAGAUGUGAAAGCCUCGGGCUCAACCUGAGAAGUGCAUUUGAUACUGUUAAGCUUGAAUAUGGGAGAGGGUAGUAGAAUUCCUGGUGUAGUGGUGAAAUACGUAGAUAUCGAGGAGGAACACCGGUGGCGGAAGGCGGGUCUCUGGGCCGUAACUGA
rnacentral:rRNA from 1 species